ACUCCUACGGGAGGCAGCAGUGGGGAAUAUUGCACAAUGGGCGCAAGCCUGAUGCAGCCAUGCCGCGUGUAUGAAGAAGGCCUUCGGGUUGUAAAGUACUUUCAGCAGUGAGGAAGGCGGGUACGUUAAUAGCGUGCUUGUUUGACGUUAGCUGCAGAAGAAGCACCGGCUAACUCCGUGCCAGCAGCCGCGGUAAUACGGAGGGUGCGAGCGUUAAUCGGAAUUACUGGGCGUAAAGCGCAUGCAGGUGGUUUGUUAAGUCAGAUGUGAAAGCCCGGGGCUCAACCUCGGAAUUGCAUUUGAAACUGGCAGACUAGAGUACUGUAGAGGGGGGUAGAAUUUCAGGUGUAGCGGUGAAAUGCGUAGAGAUCUGAAGGAAUACCGGUGGCGAAGGCGGCCCCCUGGACAGAUACUGACACUCAGAUGCGAAAGCGUGGGGAGCAAAGAGGAUUAGAUA
rnacentral:rRNA from 1 species